rnacentral:misc_RNA from 1 species
GAUGAAGAACGUAGCGAAAUGCGAUAAGUAAUGCGAAUUGCAGAAUUCAGUGAGUCAUCGAAUCUUUGAACGCACAUUGCGCCCUGUGGUAUUCCGCAGGGCAUGCCUGUUCGAGCGUCAUUUCAACCCUCAAGCCUCGCUUGGUGUUGGGCCCUGCCCGCCGCGGCCGGCCCUAAAGAUAGUGGCGGCGCCGCCUGGCCCUCAGCGUAGUACAGCUCUCGCUCCAGGGUCCUGCGGCAGCCUGCCAGAACCCCCCAACUCUGUGGUUGACCUCGGAUCAGGUAGGGAUACCCGCUGAACUUAAGCAUAUCAAUAAGCGGAGGA